UCCCAGAUCGACUAAUGGUCAAGAUUCCGCCCUUUCACGGCAGCGAUCAGGGUUCGAUUUCCCGACUGGGAG